rnacentral:rRNA from 1 species
UACGGAGGGUGCGAGCGUUGUCCGGAAUCACUGGGCGUAAAGGGCGCGUAGGCGGCCCGGCAAGUCAACGGUGAAAGCUUGGGGCUCAACCCCGAGUCGGCCGUCGAUACUUCCGGGCUGGAGCACUGUAGAGGCAGGUGGAAUUCCGGGUGUAGCGGUGGAAUGCGUAGAUAUCUGGAGGAAUACCGGUGGCGAAGGCGGCAUCCUGGACCGACAUUGACGCUGAGGAGCGAAAAGCUAGGGGAGCAUACGGG